rnacentral:snRNA from 1 species
GUGUUUGUUCAGCAGCACAUAAACUGAGAUUGGAAUGAGACAGAGAAGAUUAGCAUAGUCCCUGCUCAAGGAUGACACACAAAUUUGUGAAGUGUUCCACAUUUUC